rnacentral:rRNA from 1 species
UAGUGAGUUUGAUCCUGGCUCAGAACGAACGCUGGCGGCAUGCCUAACACAUGCAAGUCGAACGAACCCUUCGGGGUUAGUGGCGCACGGGUGCGUAACGCGUGGGAAUCUGCCCUUUGCUUCGGAAUAACAGUUAGAAAUGACUGCUAAUACCGGAUGAUGUCGCAAGACCAAAGAUUUAUCGCCCAAGGAUGAGCCCGCGUCGGAUUAGCUAGUUGGUGAGGUAAAGGCUCACCAAGGCGACGAUCCGUAGCUGGUCUGAGAGGAUGAUCAGCCACACUGGGACUGAGACACGGCCAGACUCUACGGGAGCAGCAGUGGG